rnacentral:lncRNA from 1 species
UCCUAUGACAGGUUGAGGGAACUGGGGUUGUUCAGAUUGAAGAGAAGGCUCCAGGGAGACCUCAUUGUAGCCUUCCAGUACUUGAAGGGAGCAUAUAAACAGGAAUGGGAAUGGCUAUUUACAAGGGUGGAUAGCGAUAAGACAAGGGAGAACCAUUUUAAACUGAGACAGGGAAGGUUUAGGUUAGAUAUUAGCAGGAAGUUUUUCACUCAGAGGGUGGUGACAGAAUGGAACAGGUUGCCCAAGGAGGUUGUGGAUGCCCCAUCCCAUUCAAGGCCAGGCUGGAUGUGGUUCUGGGCAGCCUGGUCUGGUGGUUGGUGACCUUGCACAUAGCAGGGGGGUUGAAACGAGAUGAUCAUUGCAGUCAUCUAUGAUUCUAUGAUUCUAUGAUCUUUGUGAAUGAAGUCUAAGAGUUGUUUUUUUUUAAUCUUAAUAAAAUGCUAUGUUUCUUCUGUUUCUUUUUCACUAAAGGAGAACACUAAAGGAACCCAGGCAGAGAUUUUCUUCAGCUGCUUUAUGAUAGAGGAAAAAGUGAGCAUGGACAUAUGCAAACUGAGAAAGAAGAAAAAUGAUUUAAGCCAAAGAUCUUAAAAGAAUGGUGAUGUGGAAGUUCCAUGAAAAGCUGAGAAGGUCAAAAACAUCAGUAACGAGGAGAGUUCCAGAAGGAGUAGCAGCAGGAGGAGCAAUAGCAGUGGAAGCAAAAGGAGGAUGAGGAAGAUUUUGAAUGUCUUUUAAAUGUGAGCAUCCAAUGUCCAGUGAAGGACCUUCCAAAAAAGAGCCCAAUUAUGUGCUCUCUGGUGCACAGACUCAUUCAUUUAUCCUGAAUUCUCUUGUUGGACAGUUUCUAUCCAGUGCUGCAGCCCUCCACUGGGGGGUGGCCCCCCGAGGAUAACCCUGCAUUCUGCCUGCU